CAAGCCUUUAAACACAGUCCCGUGAGACUGGCAAGGCGAGUUGAGAUCUUGACUGGUAAGCGCACCUUUGUGCGCACCAGAAUGACGUAGUUUGUCGACACUCCUUGCCGUGAUCGCGGCAGGGAGUUUUUUUG
rfam:Novibacillus thermophilus strain SG-1, complete genome.